rnacentral:rRNA from 1 species
GCACUGACUGCUAUCGGAUUGAUACUAAGCCAUGCGAGUCAUUGUAGCAAUACAAGGCAGACGGCUCAGUAACGCGUAGUCACCUAACCUAUGGACGGGAAUAACCUCGGGAAACUGAGAAUAAUGCCCGAUAGAACACUAUAUCUGGAAUGGUUUGUGUUCCAAAUGAUUUAUCGCCGUAGGAUGGGACUGCGGCCUAUCAGUUUGUUGGUGAGGUAAUGGCCCACCAAGACUAUUACAGGUACGGGCUCUGAGAGGAGUAGCCCGGAGAUGGGUACUGAGACACGGACCCAGGCCCUAUGGGGCGCAGCAGGCGAGAAAACUUUGCAAUGUGCGAAAGCACGACAAGGUUAAUCCGAGUGGUUUCUGCUAAAGGAACCUUUUGUCGGUCCUAGAAACACCGAUGAAUAAGGGGUGGGCAAGUUCUGGUGUCAGCCGCCGCGGUAAAACCAGCACCUCAAGUGGUCAGGAUGAUUAUUGGGCCUAAAGCAUCCGUAGCCUGCUUUGUUAGUUUUCGGUUAAAUCUAUACGCUCAACGUAUAGGCUGCCGGGAAUACUGCAAAGCUAGGGAGUGGGAGAGGUAGACGGUAUUCGUAGGAAGGGGUAAAA